rnacentral:rRNA from 1 species
UUGAUCCUGGCUCAGAAUCAACGCUGGCGGCGUGCCUAACACAUGCAAGUCGAACGCGAAAGGGGGCAACCCUGAGUAGAGUGGCGAAUGGGUGAGUAAUACGUGGGUGAUCUACCUUCGAGUGGGGGAUAACGUCCCGAAAGGGACGCUAAUACCGCAUGACGUUCUGGGUUUAAAGACCUGGAAACCAAAGCCGGGGUCCGCAAGGCCUGGCGCUUGAAGAGGAGCCCGCGUCCGAUUAGCUAGUUGUCGGGGUAACGGCCCACCAAGGCGACGAUCGGUAGCCGGCCUGAGAGGGCUGACGGCCACACUGGAACUGAGACACGGUCCAGACUCCUACGGGAGGCAGUAGUGGGGAAUUGUUCACAAUGGGCGCAAGCCUGAUGACGCAACGCCGCGUGGGGGAUGAAGGUCUUCGGAUCGUAAACCCCUGUCGAAUGGGACGAAAGUCUCUGGAGCUAAUCAUCCGGAGAGUGACGGUACCGUUAAAGGAAGCCACUGCUAACUCUGUGCCAGCAGCCGCGGUAAUAAGGU